CCUACGGGAGGCAGCAGUGAGGAAUAUUGGUCAAUGGACGCAAGUCUGAACCAGCCAUGCCGCGUGCAGGAAGACGGCUCUAUGAGUUGUAAACUGCUUUUGUACGAGGGUAAACGCAGAUACGCGUAUCUGUCUGAAAGUAUCGUACGAAUAAGGAUCGGCUAACUCCGUGCCAGCAGCCGCGGUAAUACGGAGGAUUCAAGCGUUAUCCGGAUUUAUUGGGUUUAAAGGGUGCGUAGGCGGUCGGAUAAGUUAGAGGUGAAAUCCCGAGGCUCAACUUCGGAAUUGCCUCUGAUACUGUUCGGCUAGAGAGUGGUUGCGGUAGGCGGAAUGUAUGGUGUAGCGGUGAAAUGCUUAGAGAUCAUACAGAACACCGAUUGCGAAGGCAGCUUACCAAGCUACUUCUGACGUUGAGGCACGAAAGCGUGGGGAGCGAACAGGAUUAGAUACCCGUGUAGUC
rnacentral:rRNA from 1 species